GUAGGUGACGUGCCCCGAGGUCUGGGAUAGCCAUGGGAAACCGUGGGUAAUACUGGAUGACCCCGCUGGAUGUGAAUGUCCGGCGGGCAAAGGUGUGAUUCCGCCCUGGGAGCGGCCUGCGUGGUAUUAGCUUGUUGGUGAGGUAACGGCUCACCAAGGCAACGAUGCCUAGGGGGUGUUAGCGCAUGACCCCCACGACUGGGACUGAGAUACUGCCCAGACACCUACGGGUGGCUGCAGUCGAGAAUCUUCGGCAAUGGGCGCAAGCCUGACCGAGCGACGCCGCGUGCGGGAUGAAGGCCCUUGGGUUGUAAACCGCUGUCAGAGGGGAUGAAAUGCGGGUGGGUACUCCCAUCCGUUUGACAUAGCCUCAGAGGAAGCACGGGCUAAGUUCGUGCCAGCAGCCGCGGUAAUACGAACUGUGCAAACGUUAUUCGGAAUCACUGGGCUUAAAGGGUGCGUAGGCGGCCAUUUAAGUAGGGUGUGAAAGCCCCCGGCUCAACCGGGGAAUUGCGUCCUAAACUGGAUGGCUG
rnacentral:rRNA from 1 species